rnacentral:lncRNA from 1 species
GAAGGCUUGUAGCUUAUAAACUCUCGAUACCAAAAGCAUGCACUGUAAUCAGUAUCUAGCUAAUUCUCAUUUGAUUUGUCAAUCUAGACUCCUGAGGAAGAGGAAAUCCUAAACAAGAAGAGGUCGAAAAAGGUCCAAAAGAAGUUUGAUGAGCGCAGAAAGAAAAGCAAGAUCAGUUCUCUGUUGGAGGAGCAGUUCCUGCAGGGGAAGCUUCUUGCCUGCAUUGCCUCGAGACCAGGACAGUGUGGCAGGGCUGAUGGCUACGUCCUUGAGGGCAAAGAACUGGAGUUCUACCUGAGGAAGAUUAAAGCCAAGAAAGGCAAAUAAAUGUAGAGCUCUUUUUGAUAUGACCAUUAAAGAAUAUACCCCAACUCGUCACGUUGCUGCUGCUGUUCUCAUUUUAUACAAGUGUUGCCAAAGCUUUUGAUUAGAAAGUUGGCUUAGCCAACAAGUGACAUCUUUCAACAAUUGUUUCUGGUGUGCGCUGAUGUUGUGUAGUGAGUCCUUUUUCCAUACACAUUUUAUUGGAAGGAGGAUUUGAGAAAGUUAAGCAGCUAUUUUUUUGUACUGCAUUAACUGGUUGUAACCUCCUAGAAAAAAAACACAAGUGCUAAAGUGCUCUUAGUUUUCUGUAUUAAAGAAGUCAUUGCCAUGCUUGUGUGUACAUUUUAUAUCUAUAAAAUUAGCUAAUAGAUCAAGUAUGUUAAAUCAAUGGCAAAGAAUUUAAUUUCUAAAUUUUGAAAUUUAAAGCUGUAAAUUAACUAUAAACUAGUUAAAGGGAAUUGUCAUUUAUAGAUUAACUUGGAUUAAAAAAUUAGUUAAUCACUGCACAAUUCAAGCAAGUUUACCUUUCAAAAGUUUGAGGUUGGUAAGGUUUUUUUAUUUUGAAACCAGGUCAGUUAUAUUCAUCUAGACUGCAUUAUUUUGAAGUAAAAUUGCUUAAAACGUUUGCAUUAUAUUUUCAAAUGUAAUUUAUGUGAUGGCAAAACUGAAUAUUCAGCUGUCAUUACUCCAGUCUUCAGUGUCGCAUGAUCUUUCGAGUAUGCUGAUUUAUCAGUGUUGGGGGAAAAAUCUGUUGUGCUGCUUAAUAUUUUUGUGGAAACAAAUAAAAAAAUCCUAACAUUUCUUCACUUGUCACUUUAGCACAAUUUAAUGCAUCUUUAAUGAAUAAACUUUAUUUAAAAAAUAAAAAUCUUUCAGACCCCAAAUCUUUGAACGGUAAUAUGUACAUUGGUCAAAAGUGCAAGCAGAGAUGAGGGUUCAAAUAUUGCAGCAAGUAUCCUCUCAUCCUUG